rnacentral:rRNA from 1 species
CGAACGGAACUCGGGUUAGUGGCGGACGGGUGAGUACGCGUGAGAAUCUGCCUCUAGGUCGGGGAAACAAUUGGAAACGAUUGCUAAUACCCGAUGUGCAGCAAUGUGAAAGAUUAUUGCCUAGAGAUGAGCUCGCGUCUGAUUAGCUAGUAGGUGUGGUAAUGGCGCACCUAGGCGACGAUCAGUAACUGGUCUGAGAAGGAUGACCAGUCACACUGGGACUGAGACACGGCCCAGACUCCUACGGGAGGCAGCAGUGGGGAAUUUUCCGCAAUGGGCGAAAGCCUGACGGAGCAAUACCGCGUGAGGGACGAAGGCUUUUGGGUCGUAAACCUCUUUUCCCUGAGAAGAAGAUCUGACGGUAU